AACCCAUCUUGCUGCCGCUUUUCUGGUUUGCUUUAGAGUAAUUUUUAAAGUAAAUCCCAGGUGUUGGGGACCACCUUUCAUGCUGGGGGUUUGGUUUGUUUAUUUUCUUAGUGUCUACCUUUCCUUACUAAAAUUGGAGUUCGACAACAGCAGAGAUUUUUUUUCUUACCAUCUCUAAUCUUAGCGACAGCAUCUUUUAAAGGUCCUGGCAGGGACCUAGCUGGAGAGAUGGCUUGGCAGUUAAGAGCACUUGCUGGUCUUUUAGAGGACCUGGGUUCCAUUCUCUAACCACUCACAAGCGUCUGUAACUCCUGUUCCAGGGAAUCCAACAUCUUCUUCUGGCCUCCAGGCACUCAGAUGACUGAGGUACAUACAUAAGACCAGCCAUAUGAAAAUCUCCUAGGGAACAAGCUGAAAAUGAAAAGAUCCUGCUGAAUACAAGAGUUAGACUCUUUCUGGAGCGUGUUUGGGAAUCAGGACACAAGAACAGCAGUUUGCUUUGUCCCGGACAACCCACCUUUGAAGGGGUCAGUAACCACAUGGGUGACAAAAACGCAUACCACCACAUAUACCGCUGUCUCCAGCCACCAACCGAAGAAAGCACAGCUGAUUUUCCGUACCACUGUGUGAAAAUGGAUGUCGGUGGAUAACUUGUUGGAGAGGAUUCUCUUGCUCUACAACAUGGGCUCAGGAGACUGAACUCAGCUCAUCAACCUUGGUGGAAGGCACAUUUAUCCUCCAAGCAAUGUUGCUGUUCCAAGAUUCACAUUUUAAUAAAGACCCAUGUUACCUGAC
ensembl:lncRNA